rnacentral:rRNA from 1 species
UACGUAGGGGUCAAGCGUUGUCCGGAAUCAUUGGGCGUAAAGCGCGUGUAGGCUGCUUGGAAAGUCGGAUGUGAAAGCCCUGGGCUCAACCUAGGAAGUGCAUUCGAAACUUCUGAGCUGGAGUUCUGGAGAGGAAGGCGGAAUUCUCGGUGUAGAGGUGAAAUUCGUAGAUAUCGAGAGGAACACCGGUGGCGAAGGCGGCCUUCUGGACAGUGACUGACGCUGAGACGCGAAAGCGUGGGGAGCAAACAGG